GAUGAACGCUGGCGGCAUGCCUAAGACAUGCAAGUCGAACGAAGUGGCCCAAUGAAGAAAGAGAGCUUGCUCAAUUUUAGAUUUGGAUUACCACUUAGUGGCGCAGGGGUGAGUAACGCGUGGGUAAUCUGCCUUCGAGUCUGGAAUAACAGUUAGAAAUGAUUGCUAAUGCCGGAUGAAAUGGGAAACGAUACGUCAUUUUUUAUUAAAAGGUGCCUUUAAAGCAUCGCUUGAAGAUGAGCCUGCGUCGUAUUAGUUAGUUGGUGGGGUAAUGGCCUACCAAGACAACGAUGCGUAGCCGACCUGAGAGGGUGAUCGGCCACACUGGGACUGAGACACGGCCCAGACUCCUACGGGAGACAGCAGUUAGGAAUAUUCGUCAAUGGGGGAAACCCUGAACGAGCAAUGCCGCGUGAAGGAUGACGGUUCUAUGAAUUGUAAACUUCUGUUGUUAGGGAAGAACGACCAGUAUAGGAAAUGAUAUUGGAGUGACGGUACCUUUCAAGAAAGCUCCGGCUAACUACGUGCCAGCAGCCGCGGUAAUACGUANGGAGCGAGCGUUAUCCGGAUUUAUUGGGUGUAAAGGGUGCGUAGGCGGUUUAACAGGUCUGUGGUCUA
rnacentral:rRNA from 1 species